GCACGAAAAUUAAGAACUAUAUUCACUCAGCGUAGUUUAUUUCUGAGGUCUGUCAUGCGAUAUUCGGCUAAAGUGAAAGUAGGAGCUGGUAAGUGGAUAUUUUGUGUUUAUUGUGAAUUAUGAGCCUUAUCUCAGAUAUACGAUAUAACUCCUAGUAUCAGUAAUACAUUUUGAGUAUGACAACGCCUGCGAUCUGAUGCACAUCAAUUUUAAAAAGGUUAAACCUUAUACAAAGGAUCUGAGAAUUUCCACUUGUGUGUUGCAGACCACAAUUUGGUAGCGGGCAAUAUUUAAGGUUCCUCUGAUAAAUGUUACUAUAUUUCAAAAUACUAAUAGUAUUCGUCAUGGUAUCAAAAUAUAGUUCAGUCAAAAAAGGGUUUCAAAUAUUAUGAGUAGAGUAAAUAACUAAAUUUUGUUUUCAUUAAUGAGCGAUUUUUGUGCAAGAUCCUUCAUUGAGCCUCAGACACACCAAGUUAAAUGUCCAAUGACGGCUAAGUGAAGUGGCUCUACGUAGUACACAUAUAUGAAUGCCUUGUUUCACAAAAAAGAACACUGCUCAGAUAUUUUCUCUGGACUGCCAAUUUCUGCAUUUCAUGUGAUACCUGUGUUGGAACCCUCCCAAAAACCUCCCCUUUAAGAUUUCAAAGUUAAGGAGAUCAUUCAAAUGACAGAGGUUUUGGUCCAUGUUGGUUUGUCUCAACAGUUAAUCUUUUGGAAAGCAGUGUUGGAGAAAAUAUCAGCAACAUGUGAAGACUGUGAUUUAGUUUCAUAUGAUAUGACUUGAGAAAGUUAAUAUUUUUGAUUUCAUGGUUGUAUGAACAAAUGCAUUGACCUUUCCAAACGUCAUUGAAAAAGAACAUAUGAUGACCAAACAAAAAUACAUAUUUGAACUUUCCAUGAGUUUACAAUGAAGAACAUUUUGGGAUCUCGAUACAGGAUAUUAUAAUAAUGUUUUAUCUAAUUUAAUGUUUAGUGCUUUAAAUGCAAAAAAAAUGUUUUAAAGUCGCUCUUGUGAAACCCAUGCUAAGAACACAUGCCUCAAAUAUUUUAGAGAGUUAUAUUAGAGUUAUAUUGUUAGAAUUGAAGCUUAUUUAUAAAAUUAUACUUUAUAUCUUUAAAGAAACUUUCACAAAAAUCAGUUAAACUUGCAUAUACUGCUUAACAUGUUAAAAGAAAUAUAAUA